GAUGAACGCUGGCGGCGUGCCUAAUACAUGCAAGUCGAGCGAACAGACGAGGAGUUUGCUCCUCUGACGUUAGCGGCGUAGGGGUGAUGAACACGGGGAUAACCUACCGAGAAGACUGUGAUAACUUCGAGAAACCGGAGCUAAUACCGGGGAAUAUAUAGAACAUAAUGUUUCAAUGGUGAAAUACGGUGUUGCCGUCACUUAUACAGUGAUCCGCGCCGCAUUGUCUAGUUGGUAAGGUAACGGCUUACCAAGGCAACGAUGCGUAGCCGACCUGACAGUGUGAUCGGCCACACUGGAAGUGAGACAGGGCCCAGACUCCUAAGGGAGGAAGCAGUAGGGAAUCUUACGCGAUGGGGGAAAGCCUGAUGGAGCAACACCGAGUGAGUGCUGAAGGUCUUCGGAUCGUAAAGCUAUGUUAUUAGGGAAGACCAAAUGUGUAAGUAAAUAUGAACGUCUUGACGGUACCUAAUCAGAAAGCCACGGCUAACUACGUG
rnacentral:rRNA from 1 species